rnacentral:sRNA from 1 species
UAAGGAUAGUUGUAUUUUUUAUUAUUUUGAAAUCAAUUGAGUACAUUUAGAGUGAGAACGAUUGUAUGAAUAGGGUAUACCCAAAAUAUACACGAAAGCAUCGUUGUAAAUACAUGAUUUUAGGUGUAUAUUAAAUGGUUUUGAAAAGAGGUGCUUUUUAGUCAUGAAAGUAGCAUAUGCUCGAGUAAGUUCUACAGAUCAAAAUUU